CCUGCCGCUAGAAGCUGCAGGGUGGCUGCUGUGUCACAUGCGCAUCACUAGCUGACAGGGAGGAGCGAGGCUCUGGUUAUGCUCAGCGUUCUGACCUAUGAACAUCUGAGCCAUUAGUAGCCUAACAUG